UACGUAGGGUCCGAGCGUUGUCCGGAAUUAUUGGGCGUAAAGGGCUCGUAGGCGGUUCGUCACGUCGGGAGUGAAAACUCGGAGCUCAACUCCGAGCCUGCUUCCGAUACGGGCAGACUAGAGGUAGGCAGGGGAGAGCGGAACUCCUGGUGUAGCGGUGGAAUGCGCAGAUAUCAGGAGGAACACCGGUGGCGAAGGCGGGUCUCUGGGCAGUAACUGACGCUGAGGAGCGAAAGCGUGGGGAGCGAACAGG
rnacentral:rRNA from 1 species